UGUGAGAGCCCAGUGCAGCGUUCUGCUCUGGUGAUAUCACACACACAGCGCUGCUCGGAUUAAGAGCCCCAGCACCGUCCCAGGCUUGUGGAUGAAGCCGCUCCGAUUCCCCCUUCCGAAUUCCUGUCAGGCAUGUUCAACGGCUCGCAUCGGGCUGUCUUUUCAAUUACACACAAACCUUGUGAAACAUCUCCACCAGUAGCCAAACACUGUGGGGGAAAAAGGAAACUCGAAUCCUUUCCCGGGCAGAUCAGCGAAGUAAAGCUUUGCUUUACCAUAACAACAAAGUUGAGGUUCCUCAACACGCUCCCUUAUCCUGCUCUCUCACCUCAGCACCCGCCAGUUCUCAUCAUUCCUCACUCCUCCAUCCCCUUCCCGAGCAGGCAGCACCGGGCAAGACUCAGCUCCUGCAGGAGGACUUGAGACAGACACAGCCCCGCAAUAAAACCGAGCUGCUCUCCCAGGUGGGUUCGCGUUUCCCUCCCCACGACGAAAUGAAAACCUCCUGUCUCCUCGCCUUCCCGUUCGGGAUGAAUUACCCGCGCGGGUCCUUCGCUGCCAGCCCUGGACUACUGACAGUAUCAUUAAGCUGAGCCCCACCAGGGACAAAUCUCUUUAGACGCUGAACAGUAAUACUUUUAUGCUGCCUAAUGAGUUUUGCGGCGUUGCACGUUACGUAGGGAAGCGAAUACCUAUCCCGGGGCAGGGAAAGGCACGGGCAGAGCGUUCAAAGGACGCGUUGUUAGAGGUCUGGGUGUGCUCCUAGAGAGCCAACGUUUCCUUUUCUUCUACAAGUGCUCAAGAGAGAACAGGCUGCUGUGAACUCAGAGUUCACAGUAAAUAAAUACCCAAGUCUGCGCAGGAGAGUUGAAAUGCCGUGAGAACACCCUGAGCAAGCAGGUGUAGGUGUGCCAACAACUCCAGCGACCUUCCCAGAGCCAAUCCAGGAAAAAACACCUUGCUUGGCAGUGUGCAACUACAGACACAACAGCACACAGUGCCUACAAACAGGAGGGACACAUUUUGACCAAGGAAUGGCUGAUUAGCCCAGAAAAAGCUUGAAGUGAGAUCCACUGACAUCCAUGGAGCAUCACGGAUGCGUAGCCAUGGAGCUCCGGUGAGCUCCGGAUAAAGCCCUUGGAAUGACACAAGCCACUGUUGCAUCACGAUUCUGCAGUUCCUAAAAUAACUGCCCUGACUUAAAGGGAAUUUUACUACUUCAGUUUUCUCUGCUCCCCGGUGAUAGGCCUUAUAAACGCUGUGGAAAUAGAAACUAUCACCACAUGCAGCAGUGGAAAAAAAAAAAAAAAGAGGAAAAAGCCCUGAGAAACUCAUUUCCUCAACUGGGUGUCAGAAGUUUCAGUAUCAGGCUCAAGUUAUUAGAUCUCCAAGUUAUGUUUCUCCCCUGGGAAUGGACUUUAACUGCAUAUAUUUGGCAAAAUCUCCUCUUAAAGCUGAAAUAAUUUGCAGCUGCUGGUUCUUUCACUCACACUAUAUGGGUAGGAACUCCUCCUACCAUAAACCCUCCAGAUUUUGGACACAGUGACAGCAUCACAGGCUGUCGCUGAUUAAAGAUGGGCUUGGCAACUGGAGCAAGGGGACUUGAGGAGGCAAUUCCCUGCUGUGGCAGAAACCUGGAGCCAAAAACCUAGGAGGUCUCUUCCAGAGCUGCCUUGCUUGCAACCAGCUCCCGUUUCUCUCUCAUCUGGGUUCAGCUGGACUGAAGAAGACACGAACUUCUGUUUUUUGGUGCACAGCAAACAGACUAACCUUUGGUUAGAGCACAGCUUUCACAGUUAUUAACAGUAAAUAUCAAAUCCUCA